UAAGGGCAAAUCUCUAAAAUAGCACAUUUCUAAGUUUAUAUCACAAAAGUAGCACUCAAAAACUAAAAUGACCAAAAUAGCACCUUUCUAAGUUUAUCCUUUGAAAAUUUUAAUUUUUUUAUUUUUCAAAAUUUGAAAUCUUAUCCCCAAAACCUCAUUUCUCAACUCUAAACACUAAACCCUAAACUCUAAACCCUAAACCAUAAACCAUAAACUCUAAACCCUAAACCCUAAACCAUGAACUCUAAACCCUAAACCCUAAACCCUAAACCCUAAACUCUAAACCCUAAACUCUAAACCCUAAACCCUAAACUCUAAACCCUAAGUUUGUGACUUUUGAUAAAACAUUAAGUGCUA
rnacentral:lncRNA from 1 species